rnacentral:rRNA from 1 species
AUUGGACGCUGGCGGCAUGCCUUACACAUGCAAGUCGAACGGUAACAGGUCUUCGGAUGCUGACGAGUGGCGAACGGGUGAGUAAUACAUCGGAACGUGCCUAGUAGUGGGGGAUAACUACUCGAAAGAGUGGCUAAUACCGCAUGAGAUCUACGGAUGAAAGCAGGGGAUCGCAAGACCUUGUGCUACUAGAGCGGCCGAUGGCAGAUUAGGUAGUUGAUGGGAUAAAAGCUUACCAAGCCGACGAUCUGUAGCUGGUCUGAGAGGACGAUCAGCCACACUGGGACUGAGACACGGCCCAGACUCCUACGGGAGGCAGCAGUGGGGAAUUUUGGACAAUGGGCGAAAGCCUGAUCCAGCAAUGCCGCGUGCAGGAUGAAGGCCUUCGGGUUGUAAACUGCUUUUGUACGGAACGAAAAGCCCCGGGUUAAUACCCUGGGGUCAUGACGGUACCGUAAGAAUAAGCACCGGCUAACUACGUGCCAGCAGCCGCCGUAA